CACGUAGGGCGCAAGCGUUGUCCGGAAUUAUUGGGCGUAAAGAGCUCGUAGGCGGUCUGUUGCGUCCGCUGUGAAAACUCGGGGGCUUAACCCCCGAGCCUGCAGUGGAUACGGGCAGACUAGAGGUAGGUAGGGGGAGAAUGGAAUUCCCGGUGUAGUGGUGAUAUGCGUAGAUAUCGGGGAGGAACACCAGUGGCGAAGGCGGCUCUCUGGGCCCUACCUGACGCUGAGACGCGAAAGCGUGGGGGAGCGAACCGG
rnacentral:rRNA from 1 species